UACGUAGGGUGCAAGCGUUGUCCGGAAUUAUUGGGCGUAAAGAGCUCGUAGGCGGUUUGUCGCGUCUGCUGUGAAAACUCGGGGCUUAACCCCGGGCCUGCAGUGGGUACGGGCAGACUAGAGUGCGGUAGGGGAGACUGGAAUUCCUGGUGUAGCGGUGAAAUGCGCAGAUAUCAGGAGGAACACCGGUGGCGAAGGCGGAUCUCUGGGCCUUACCUGACGCUCAGGCGCGAAAGCUAGGGGAGCGAACUGG
rnacentral:rRNA from 1 species